UUUUUUUUUUGUUGUUUUUAGCAUGGCAAACAAUACAAAAACAACCAACAAAAAAAGGAACAUGACGCAAGCUACGUCUUUGAACAGGGAUCCAAAUACGAGGCACUUGUAAAAAUGAAGAGGCUUGAAGAGAGAGAAACAAAGCAGGAAUCAAGUAGCACAACCAAGUUCUAGGUUAGCACUCAAAGAGCAGAAAAGUUGACUUACUGCUGAAAGAACUACUGCACCCUGACCACGAAUCUCCCCUGCCCAGAAACUCAGGCUCCUGAGCCAAUGGUUAAGUGAGACUAUGGGUGACUCUUUUCUCUCUUUAUAUUUUUGGGAUCCUUUUAGUUUUCUAUAAUGAGCAUGUAUUCUCUUAAAUGAAGUUGUGUAGCAUCCACAUGUAAAGAACACGCCUGGAUUUUACAAAUUAGUCUACCUGCAGGAGCAUUCUUCUAUUUCUCCACACGAGGGCAGCAUUCUCAAGUCAAUUAGCAGGACCAAGCUUUUCAAGGUGUUGGGUCUGAAAUUGAAGGCUGCUCUUCCGUGGUUGAUACUGACAUGCUGCUGGCCCAAAUCAUUCAUUAGAUUGCUUAUUUCCCAGAAAAAUGACUAUAUAGUUAUUUGCAAAAACUGAUAUAUAGGAGGAAAGACAAGUCACCUAUGACCAGGGCAAUCUGCCAUUUAUGCUCAUAUUUAUACAUGGGGUGAAAGAGAGGAAGCGACCUGGUUUUAAACAAAGGGUGCGCCCCCAAUGCAUUGUUUCCUAAUCUCCCUUUCACAUCAAACGUCUCUUGAGCCUUUCUCUGUUUCCCUAAGUUCUCUGACAGGGGUGGAUUUUAAAGGCAGUCUCGUGUCCCAGCCUGUGAACUCAUUGUACUGGGCUUACCUGAUUCAAAUUGGUCAUUUCCGUGGUUUAGCUGUCUUUAAAGUAGCAAAGAUUUCUCAUGUAUAAAAUACACAUGGAAAACUGUAUCGUCUCACCCUAUUCAUCACUACUUCGAGUGCUGAUGAACUGGAGUAUCAUCUAUCAACUGAACAGGUGCCAUUUAGCCUCAUGAUUGAGAUGUACCCCUGUUCAUUGAGACCCAGUUCAUUGUAACUGCUCUACGAUUAGUAUAUAUUAGACACAGAAUUUCUAAACAUAUACUAUUGAUUUAUUAACACAUUUACUCCAGGAAAGGAGCAGCCAACUGGAAAGGUGGAUCCCCUUCAGCUCUGCUGCCUAGUGCUGACUCACACUCCUGAAUUACGAGUUUAGAAGUCAGCCUGUGGGGAAGGAGUCUAUUCCCUCAUGUCCUCCAUGUGGUUGGAGGCUUGCCUUUCAGCAUCUCCCAGGUUAAGCAUCUUUUCAAGCUCAGUGGCAACACAGUUUGUCUUUUGUGAAUUUCCUAUGGGAAACCAUUGCUUAUUAUCAGCUUGGGUUAUCUCCUUCUUGUUGAUUUGCAGAUAUUUUAUUCCAGGUCUGAUUCAUGAGGGGUCUCUAGAGGAAGCAUGUGGCAAGCACAAACCCUGCAAUUAAGGGGAGCUUCCUGGGGGCACUGCUUAGCAAGGAAGUGGAGGUUGGGGGCAAGCCGGGUGGGCGGGUGAGGCGCCCAAGCCGGGCAGCAGAGGGCAGUGUUCAGCACCUCAGGCCUCAGGUAGCAAGGCCAGGGAUGGCGACUAUUCUCCCUGGGUUCAUGGGCCUUUCUGCAUGGAUGGCCGGCCAGGGGGCAGCCCGGGGAGCUGGAGGGAUGGGGCAUAAGAGAGAGAGAACGGGGGGCUCCCGGAGCCCUCCAGGCCCCUCUGCCUUGUGCUUCCUGUGCUCCCCUUGCAGGGGGACAGACCCGGGUAGCCUUCCCCUGGGGCCGGGGUAUUUUGCUGCAUCUCAGGAGGUUGGAGGGCAGCCCCCAGCAGCCUCAUGACAGCUGCCUCCUAACUCAGGGCUCCUCUGCUCUGCUGCAUGCCCCACACGUGCAGGUGGACAGCGCCCUGGUCACAUAGCCCUGUGGGACAUAGGCAGUUGCUCUCAAGUACAGAUCCUGCCCUGGCUGCUGCUUUGGCUGGAAUGCAGCCUGUGUUUCCAGGGCUCAGGUGCCUCAACCAGGACGUGCCCACAAUACCUGGGCAGGCGGACCCCUUAGCCUGCAGGAGGAGGCAUGCACACAGCCUUCGCAGUUUGGGAUGGGACAGCAGUGAGCAGAGCCCAACAAGCCAGCUGUCCUCCCAGGAGCUAAGCUCUGGUGCAGGUGGGAGCCUGGGUGCUCAGCCCACCCCCUGCCUGCCCUCCAUCCAACAGUCGGUCCAUCCUUACCCUGGGAGGUAAGCCUGGAACCAGGGGGUCAGGAUGGUGGGACCGGACAGGGCCCAGGACGGGCAUCGGGCACUGUGCAUGGUUUGUGCUCUUUUUUUUUUUUUCCCAGGGGAUUUUAAAGCAAACCCCAGGCAUCAGGCCCCCUGAUAUCCCCCAAUAGUGAUUCAAUAUUACUAACAAAUGGGCAUUACCUCACAGAGCCAUAUUCUAUCUUAAAAACAUUAAAAGUCAUUCCUUGUGAUGAAAUACUUAGAGUUCUUUAUUGCCUCAAAAACAUCUCUGCUUCUGUUUUUUUCCACACAAGGCACUCACACUGCCUCUCAGGUCUUCAUGUAAAGCACUCUGCCUACUGCACCCUCUCUGCCCUCUAAGAAAAGGACUCUGACUUGAAAGUGGCUCAACUCUUCUUACUUUAAAUGUGUUCCUUCUUGAGGCUUCACUUUCUUUAAGCACCAAGAGCGGGCAGCAAGGGGAGUGCUUUAUAGUCUAGGUCAGCUCUGCUUCAGAGGUGGCACCCUGUACUUCAUCCUGAGUGCAUGCCACCAGGCAGCACACAUGAAGAGUCCUUUUUCGUGAUGCUAAGAUGGAUGAAUGGAGCACGAGAGAAUAGCUGGGUCCCUUUCCUACAUUUCAGCACACCUCCAGCUCGUUUCAUCUAUUGAUCUCCAGGGUUGACCCCUCAUGUGGAAGAUGGGAGUCACUUGCCUUGUACCUUCUCUUGGGUACAGGCAUGCUCUGCUUCCCAGUGCCUCAUCCCCUUGUGCUACUCAGCAGAGGGAGACGCCCUAGUCACCUUUUGAUUAUCCCUGCCUCUUUCUCCCACGGAUUCAAACUGAAAAAGAGAUCCAAAUAAGUUAAUUCACAAUCUAGAUUUUGCUUCACUGAAGAUGUUUGGUUUCCACAAAAUACAUCAGGAUAUUCUGAAGCUGCAUCCCAAAGAAGCCAACAUCUAAAAGCGGAAUUUUGGAGUUCCCUUCCUGGCUCAGCAGUAACGUACCCAACUGGUAAACAUGAGGACUCAGGUUCUAGCCCUGGCCUCGCUCAAUUGGCUGAGGAUCUGGCGUUGCUGUGGGCUGUGGUGCUGGAAGUGGUAUUGGAAGCCCUAGCCACAGCAAUCAGACAAGAAAAAGAAAUAAGAGGAUUCCAAUUUAGAAAGAAAGUUAAACUGCCACUGUUUGUAGAUGACAUGAUACUACUCAUAGAUAAUCCUAAAGAUGCAACGAUAAAACUACUAGAGCUCAUCAAUGAAUUCACUCAAGUUGUAAAAUACAAAAAUUAAUAUACAGAAUUUAGUUGCAUUUCUAUAUACUACUAAUGAAUUAUUGGAAAAAGAAAGAAAUAGCCCCACUUAUCACACUAAAGAGAAUAAAUAGGAGUUCCCUUGUGGCUCAGUGGCUUAAGACACUGACAUUGAAACGGCAGCAGCUCAAAUCAUUGCUGUGGUGCAGAUUUGUUUGAUUUUAUGGCCACACCUGUGGCAUAUGGAAAUUCCUGGGUUAGGGGUUGAAUCCUAGCUGCAGCUGCCAGCCUAUAGCACAGCCACAGCUACACCAGCUCUGAGCUGCCAUGGCAGCUUGCAGCAAUGCCGGAUCCUUAACCCACUGAGUGAGGUCAGGGAUCAGACCCACAUCCUCACCAACACUGUCCAUGUCAGGUUCGUAACCUGCUGAGCCACAACAGGAACUCCUUUUUGUUUGCAUAUUUUGUGGCACAGGUUUGAUCCCCCGGCCCAGGGAAAUUUUACAUGCCAUGUAUACUGCAAAAAAAUAAGAAAUAACAAAUAGCUAGCAAUAAAUCUAACCAAUGAGGUGAAAGACCUAUACUCAGAAAACUGUAAGACACUGAUGAAAGAAACUGAAGAUGACACACAGAGAUGGAAAGAUAUACUGCAUUCAUGGAUUGGAAGAAUAAAUAUUGUUCAUCUACAGAAUCUAUGCAAUCUACACCAAAAAAAACAAGAGCAUUUUUCAAAGAACUAGAGUACAUUUAAAAUUUGCAUGGAAACACAAAAGACUCCAAAUAGCCAAAAUAAUUUUGAGCCAGAACAGAGCUGGAGGUACCCCACUCCCUUACUUCAGAUUUUACUAUAGGACCACAGCCAUCAAACACUACGGUACUGGCACAAAACCAGACAGAUACAGAGAGAAGGUGGAGUAGUAGACUGUGAAGCUCACCUACUCCCGCAAUUACACUGAAAAUCCUUCAACGAUGUGGAAUGGCUUGCACAGAAAAUUUGCUGAAUGUUUCUGAUAGAGCAAGAAAAAUUUCACGAAACAGAGUAGGACAAAAGAAAGAAGAAAAAAGGAAAAAAGUGAGAAAAUGAGAAAGGACGUGGGAUAGGACCUGUACCCUAAGGAGGGCGCUAGGAAAGAAGAAAAGCUCCUGCACCCUGGGGAGUCCUCCCACCAGCAGGGAGAUCAGCCAGCACAGAGGAGGAACAUUUGCGUGUCAGAGGAGAACACACUAAUCGGUUUGAAGCAAUUAAAAUGGAAACAGUCCUGGACAAGUGGUCCGUGCUUCCUCCCUGCACUUCCCAAGUGUCUGCUGGUGUGGGCAGGGGUUGGGGAUCUAAAUGCAGGUUUUGGAGAUCAGACUCAGAGAAAGAGCUGGGGCCGGCUGUGGGGGGAAAAACUAAGGUUGGCCCCAUGGAAACAGCCUGUGGGGCUGGAGUUUAGGGUGAUCACAUUUGAGGAUGAAAGGUGAGGAAACCUGGAUGGGGCUGGAGGCUGGGGGUUAUUGUUUAGGGAUUUGGGAGGGAAGGGGUGGGAUCCACCACUACAGCCUUGUUCCCUGCACAUGCUCUCAGGCAGGAGGACACUGCCUGCUCCAGCUCAGGGAGCCAUAGUGUGAGCAGCUACUGCCUAGCAACAAGAGGAGCAGCCAGCACCCCAUCACAGCUGCAGAGAGCGAUCCACCAUGGGAGGGCCUCCUCCCUUGGGGCUACAGAGAGUGCUCCUGUGAUAUGCCCAGCAAAGGGAGGGACCCAGGGCAUGGUGCCCACCCCUACAGCUACAGGGAGCAAUCCCAUGAGCCACAUGGCAAAGAGACGGACCAGAGCAGUAGCUGCUAUCAUUGUUAGCUGCAUGGCACAGUCCUGAGAGCUUCCUAGUAACAGGAGGGCAUGUUGGACCCGCAGCCAUCCCCCCCUGCUCCUAGAGCAGUCCUAGGAACCGUGACUCACUGCCAACUCUCUCAUGGAUCCCAUAUUUAGCAGCCACCCAGCUGCAGGAGAGGUAGCAGGAUACUGCCGUUCCCAUCACAAACUCUAGGUACAUGGGAGCUGCCACCACCUCCAAGAACUCCAGCACUGGGCACUAACUGCUGUAUCUACUCACCCGCUAUCAAGGGGAACACAAACAGAGAACGUUAGACAAUAUGAAACAACAAAGGAAUAUGUUUCAGGUAACGGAACAAGUAAAAACAGCACAAAGAAAAAGAAAAGAAAAUAGUUAAUUUACCUGAAAAAGAAAUCAGAAUGAUGAUCGUAAAGAUGACCUAAGAUAUCAGAAAAAGAAUAGUGGUGUAUCUAAAGACGAUACAAAGAAUAUGUAUUGGGAGUUUCUUUGGUGGCACGGCAGGAAUGAAUAUGACUAGAAUCCAUGAAGAUGCGGGUUUGAUCAAUGGCUUCACUCAGUGGGUUGGGGAUCUGGCGUUACUGUUAGCUGUGGUGUACGUCACCGAUGCUGCUCAGAUCCCAUGUUGCUGUGGCUGUGGUAUACACUAGCAGCUGUAAUUCCGACUUGACCCCCAGCCUAGGAUCCUCCAUAUGCUGUGGGUGACAUCCUAAAGAGCCAAAAAAAAAAGGGGGGGGGGGAGAAGAGGAAAAGAAGUGUGUAACAAAGAGCUAGAAGAUUUAAAGAACAAGCAAAUUAGGAUGAAGAGCAGGAUACCUAAAAUAAAAAAUACACUAGUAGGCAUCAAUAACAGGGUAACAGAGGUAGAAGAAUGAAUAAGUGAGGUGGAAGACAGAGUGGUGAAAAUCACUGCCACAGAAAAGAAUAAAGACAAGAGAAUGAAAAACCUUGAGUUGCAUAUAAGAGAUCUCUGGGACAACAUUCAGUGUACCAACAUCUGCAUCACAGGAGACCCAGAAGGACAAGA
rnacentral:lncRNA from 9 species